CAGUCGCCGCGGUAAAACGGAGGGCGCGAGCGUUACCCGGAUUUACUGGGCGUAAAGGGCGUGUAGGCGGCCUGGGGCGUCCCAUGUGAAAGGCCACGGCUCAACCGUGGAGGAGCGUGGGAUACGCUCAGGCUAGAGGGUGGGAGAGGGUGGUGGAAUUCCCGGAGUAGCGGUGAAAUGCGCAGAUACCGGGAGGAACGCCGAUGGCGAAGGCAGCCACCUGGUCCACUUCUGACGCUGAGGCGCGAAAGCGUGGGGAGCAAACCGGAUUAGAUACCCCGGUAGUCCCUGUCUCUUAUAC
rnacentral:rRNA from 1 species